rnacentral:rRNA from 1 species
GAUUAACGCUGGCGGCGUGCAUAACACAUGCAAGUCGAACGAUGAAACUUAAAUGAUUUCUUCGUAAUGAACUUAAGUGGAGUAUUGGCGGACGGUUGAGUAACGCGUGAGUAACCUGCCUUACACAAGGGGAUAGCCGUCUGAAACGACGAAUAAUACUCUAUGAAACUAUCACUUCGCAUGAAGCGAUAUUCAAAGUGUUAGCGGUGUAAGAUGGACUUCCGUCUGAUUAGCUAGAUGGAGAGAAAAAAGCCCACCAAGGCAACGAUCAGUAGCCGGCUUUAGAGAGUGUACGGCAACAUUGGGACUGAGGCACGGCCCAGACUCCUACGGGAGGCAGCAGUGGGGAAUUUUGCACAAUGGGGGAAACCCUGAUGCAGCGACGCCGCGAGAUUUAGAAGGUCUUCGGGUUGUAAAGAUCUUUUGUAUAGGCAGAAAAUGACAGUACUAUACGAAUAAGGCCCGGCUAAUUACGUG